rnacentral:rRNA from 1 species
GAUGAACGCUGGCGGCGUGCUUAACACAUGCAAGUCGAACGAAGCAUUUGCGACAGAUUUUUUCGGAAUGAAGUUGCUUAUGACUGAGUGGCGGACGGGUGAGUAACGCGUGGGUAACCUGCCUUGUACUGGGGGAUAGCAGCUGGAAACGGCUGGUAAUACCGCAUAAGCGCACAAUGUUGCAUGACAUGGUGUGAAAAACUCCGGUGGUAUAAGAUGGACCCGCGUCUGAUUAGCUAGUUGGUGAGAUAACAGCCCACCAAGGCGACGAUCAGUAGCCGACCUGAGGGGGUGACCGGCCACAUUGGGACUGAGACACGGCCCAGACUCCUACGGGAGGCAGCAGUGGGGAAUAUUGCACAAUGGAGGAAACUCUGAUGCAGCGACGCCGCGUGAGUGAAGAAGCAAUUCGUUAUGUAAAGCUCUAUCAGCAGGGAAGAUAGUGACGGUACCUGACUAAGAAGCUCCGGCUAAAUACGUG